rnacentral:rRNA from 1 species
UACGUAGGGUGCAAGCGUUAAUCGGAAUUACUGGGCGUAAAGCGUGCGCAGGCGGUUAUGCAAGACAGGUGUGAAAUCCCCGGGCCUAACCUGGGAACUGCAUUUGUGACUGCAUGGCUAGAGUUUGUCAGAGGGGGGUGGAAUUCCACGUGUAGCAGUGAAAUGCGUAGAGAUGUGGAAGAACACCGAUGGCGAAGGCAGCCCCCUGGGAUGUGACUGACGCUCAUGUACGAAAGCGUGGGGAGCAAACAGG